ACUGCAAGUCGAACGAGAAAGCGGGGGCAACCCUGCAAGUACAGUGGCAGACGGGUGAGUAACACGUGAACAACUUACCCUCGAGCGGGGAAUAACACCGCGAAAGCGGUGCUAAUACCUCAUAACAUUCCCGGGUCGCAUGGUCUGGGGAUCAAAGGCGAAAGUCGCUCGAGGAGAGGUUCGCGCCUGAUUAGCUAGUUGGUGAGGUAACGGCCCACCAAGGCGACGAUCAGUAGCCGGCCUGAGAGGGCGAACGGCCACACUGGAACUGAGACACGGUCCAGACUCCUACGGGAGGCAGCAGUGGGGAAUUUUGCGCAAUGGGCGAAGGCCUGACGCAGCAACGCCGCGUGGAGGAUGAAGGUCUUCGGAUCGUAAACUCCUGUCAGGGGGGAAGAAAGCCUUAACCGGUUUGACUUACCC
rnacentral:rRNA from 1 species